UUUACGAAAUCACCACACGCUGACUUAUGGGAUUAUACUUCCUAAGCACAGUUCGUAAAUGCUGUCACUUCAAAUAAAAAUCGCAGUAUUCCGGACUUACGAUCACGGCAGUUGAUAUACAAGCUGCACCCUUAUGCAGAGACAAGAGGUAGCACGAACGUUUUUGCCAACCAGCGCCCGCUUCGGAGGCGCAGCAGAGGGGAGGUGCCCCCACAGUGACGUCACGCUGUUUGAAGGUCUAUUGAAGGAACACUUCGCAAUUUGGCAAGUGCAACCAGUCAGUUCGCGAGGCAGGUCAAUUUAGGAAGAAUUUUUAUGCUGGCACCAGUCUCGAAAUAUCCCUGCCCUGCAACUGCGACGAAACGCAUUGACCUUGAAAUUAAAUUUGUCCCGCAUUGAGUAAAAAUGCGGUUU